GCGAAUGUAGCUCACCUGGUUAGAGCGUCGGGUUGUGGCUCCGAAGGUAACGGGUUCGAUCCCCGUCAUUCGCC
rnacentral:tRNA from 1 species